UAAUGAUAAUAGAUAAUAAAUAUAUUAUAUAAAUAUUAAAUUUAUUAUUUAUAAUAAUAUCAUAAA
rnacentral:tRNA from 1 species